rnacentral:rRNA from 1 species
CCUACGGGUGGCAUCAUUUUUUCCUAUUUCCCCCUUUUUUUCCCCCUUCUUCAGCUACGCCUCGUGGGUGAAGAAGCGCCUCGGCGCGUAAAGCCCUGUCAGCAGGGAAGAAAAUGACGGUACCUGAAGAAGAAGCCCCGGCUAACUACGUGCCAGCAGCCGCGGUAAUACGUAGGGGGCAAGCGUUAUCCGGAUUUACUGGGUGUAAAGGGGGCGCAGACGGCGAUGCAAGCCAGGAGUGAAAGCCCGGGGCCCAACCCCGGGACUGCUCUUGGAACUGCGUGGCUGGAGUGCAGGAGGGGCAGGCGGAAUUCCUGGUGUAGCGGUGAAAUGCGUAGAUAUCAGGAGGAACACCGGUGGCGAAGGCGGCCUGCUGGACUGCAACUGACGUUGAGGCCCGAAAGCGUGGGGAGCAAACAGGAUUAGAUACCCCAGUAGUC